UACGUAGGUGGCAAGCGUUAUCCGGAAUUAGUGGGCGUAAAGCGCGCGUAGGCGGUUUGUUAAGUCUUGAUGUGAAAGCCCACGGCUCAACCGUGGAGGGUCAGUUGGAUAAGUGGUGACUUGAGUGCAGAAGAGGAAAGUGGAAUUCCAGUGUGUUAGCGGUGAAUGGCGCCAGAGAUAUGGAGGAACACCAGUGGCGAAGGCGACUUUCUGGUCUGUAACUGACGCUGAUGUGCGAAAGCGUGGGUAUCAAACAGGAUUAGAUACC
rnacentral:rRNA from 1 species